CGAUGACCAUGUACAUACGCAAUAGACAAUCUUUAUGGUUUGAAGGAAUUCUAUAAAGAUUGUCUAUUGCGUAUGUACAUGGUCAUCG